rnacentral:rRNA from 1 species
AGUGAACGCUGGCGGUAGGCCUAACACAUGCAAGUCGAACGGCAGCACAGUAAGAGCUUGCUCUUACGGGUGGCGAGUGGCGGACGGGUGAGGAAUACAUCGGAAUCUACUUUUUCGUGGGGGAUAACGUAGGGAAACUUACGCUAAUACCGCAUACGACCUACGGGUGAAAGCAGGGGAUCUUCGGACCUUGCGCGAUUGAAUGAGCCGAUGUCGGAUUAGCUAGUUGGCGGGGUAAAGGCCCACCAAGGCGACGAUCCGUAGCUGGUCUGAGAGGAUGAUCAGCCACACUGGAACUUGGACACGGUCCAGGCUCCUGCGGGAGGCAGCAGUGGGGAAUAUUGGACAAUGGGCGCAAGCCUUAUCCAGCCAUACCGCGUGGGUGAAGAAGGCCUUCGGGUUGUAAAGCCCUUUUGUUGGGAAAGAAAAGCAGCAGGUUAAGACCCCGCUGUUCUGACGGUACCCAAAGAAUAAGCACCGGCUAACUUCGUG